rnacentral:rRNA from 1 species
UACGGGGGGGGCAAGCGUUGUUCGGAAUUACUGGGCGUAAAGGGCUCGUAGGCGGCCAACUAAGUCAGACGUGAAAUCCCUCGGCUUAACCGGGGAACUGCAUCUGAUACUGGAUGGCUUGAGUUUGGGAGAGGGAUGCGGAAUUCCAGGUGUAGCGGUGAAAUUCGUAGAUAUUCGGAGGAACACCAGAAGCGAAGGCGGCCAACUGGCCCGAUACUGACGCUGAGGCGCGAAAGCGUGGGGAGCAAACAGG